rnacentral:rRNA from 1 species
GACGAACGCUGGCGGCGUGCCUAAUACAUGCAAGUAGAACGCUGAAGAGAGGAGCUUGCUCUUCUUGGAUGAGUUGCGAACGGGUGAGUAACGCGUAGGUAACCUGCCUUGUAGCGGGGGAUAACUAUUGGAAACGAUAGCUAAUACCGCAUAACAAUGGAUGACACAUGUCAUUUAUUUGAAAGGGGCAAUUGCUCCACUACAAGAUGGACCUGCGUUGUAUUAGCUAGUAGGUGAGGUAACGGCUCACCUAGGCGACGAUACAUAGCCGACCUGAGAGGGUGAUCGGCCACACUGGGACUGAGACACGGCCCAGACUCCUACGGGAGGCAGCAGUAGGGAAUCUUCGGCAAUGGGGGCAACCCUGACCGAGCAACGCCGCGUGAGUGAAGAAGGUUUUCGGAUCGUAAAGCUCUGUUGUAAGUCAAGAACGAGUGUGAGAGUGGAAAGUUCACACUGUGACGGUAGCUUACCAGAAAGGGACGGCUAACUACGUGCCAGCAGCCGCGGUAAUACGUAGGUCCCGAGCGUUGUCCGGAUUUAUUGGGCGUAAAGCGAGCGCAGGCGGUUUGAUAAGUCUGAAGUUAAAGGCUGUGGCUCAACCAUAGUUCGCUUUGGAAACUGUCAAACUUGAGUGCAGAAGGGGAGAGUGGAAUUCCAUGUGUAGCGGUGAAAUGCGUAGAUAUAUGGAGGAACACCGGUGGCGAAAGCGGCUCUCUGGUCUGUAACUGACGCUGAGGCUCGAAAGCGUGGGGAGCGAACAGGAUUAGAUACCCUGGUAGUCCACGCCGUAAACGAUGAGUGCUAGGUGUUGGAUCCUUUCCGGGAUUCAGUGCCGCAGCUAACGCAUUAAGCACUCCGCCUGGGGAGUACGACCGCAAGGUUGAAACUCAAAGGAAUUGACGGGGGCCCGCACAAGCGGUGGAGCAUGUGGUUUAAUUCGAAGCAACGCGAAGAACCUUACCAGGUCUUGACAUCCCGAUGCUAUUUCUAGAGAUAGAAAGUUACUUCGGUACAUCGGUGACAGGUGGUGCAUGGUUGUCGUCAGCUCGUGUCGUGAGAUGUUGGGUUAAGUCCCGCAACGAGCGCAACCCCUAUUGUUAGUUGCCAUCAUUCAGUUGGGCACUCUAGCGAGACUGCCGGUAAUAAACCGGAGGAAGGUGGGGAUGACGUCAAAUCAUCAUGCCCCUUAUGACCUGGGCUACACACGUGCUACAAUGGUUGGUACAACGAGUUGCGAGUCGGUGACGGCAAGCUAAUCUCUUAAAGCCAAUCUCAGUUCGGAUUGUAGGCUGCAACUCGCCUACAAGAAGUCGGAAUCGCUAGUAAUCGCGGAUCAGCACGCCGCGGUGAAUACGUUCCCGGGCCU